GAGGUCUCAAGCGUUGUUCGGAUUCAUUGGGCGUAAAGGGUGCGUAGGUGGUUAGGUAAGUCGGAUGUGAAAUCCCGGGGCUCAACCUCGGAACUGCAUUCGAUACUGCUUGACUAGAGUACUGGAGAGGAGAUUGGAAUUUACGGUGUAGCAGUGAAAUGCGUAGAUAUCGUAAGGAAGACCAGCGGCGAAGGCGGAUCUCUGGACAGUUACUGACACUGAGGCACGAAGGCCAGGGGAGCAAACGGG
rnacentral:rRNA from 1 species